UACGUAGGGUGCAAGCGUUGUCCGGAAUUAUUGGGCGUAAAGAGCUCGUAGGCGGUCUGUCACGUCGGCUGUGAAAACCCGAGGCUCAACCUCGGGCCUGCAGUCGAUACGGGCAGACUAGAGUUCGGUAGGGGAGACUGGAAUUCCUGGUGUAGCGGUGAAAUGCGCAGAUAUCAGGAAGAACACCCGUGGCGAAGGCGGUUCUCUGGGACGGUACUGACGCUGAGACGCGAAAGCGUGGGGAGCGAACAGG
rnacentral:rRNA from 1 species